rnacentral:rRNA from 1 species
UACUCCUACGGGAGGCAGCAGUUAGGAAUCUUCCGCAAUGGGCGCAAGCCUGACGGAGCGACGCCGCUUGGAGGAAGAAGCCCUUCGGGGUGUAAACUCCUGAACCCGGGACGAAACCCCCGACGAGGGGACUGACGGUACCGGGGUAAUAGCGCCGGCCAACUCCGUGCCAGCAGCCGCGGUAAUACGGAGGGCGCGAGCGUUACCCGGAUUCACUGGGCGUAAAGGGCGUGUAGGCGGCCUGGGGCGUCCCAUGUGAAAGACCACGGCUCAACCGUGGGGGAGCGUGGGAUACGCUCAGGCUAGACGGUGGGAGAGGGUGGUGGAAUUCCCGGAGUAGCGGUGAAAUGCGCAGAUACCGGGAGGAACGCCGAUGGCGAAGGCAGCCACCUGGUCCACCCGUGACGCUGAGGCGCGAAAGCGUGGGGAGCAAACCGGAUUAGAUACCCGGGUAGUCCACGCCCUAAACGAUGCGCGCUAGGUCUCUGGGUUUUCUGGGGGCCGAAGCUAACGCGUUAAGCGCGCCGCCUGGGGAGUACGGCCGCAAGGCUGAAACUCAAAGGAAUUGACGGA